rnacentral:misc_RNA from 1 species
AAAGUCGUAACAAGGUUUCCGUAGGUGAACCUGCGGAAGGAUCAUUAAUGAAUAACUAUGGUGGGUUGUUGCUGGCUUUUCAAAGCAUGUGCACACCUGCUGUCUUUAUCUAUCCCAUUGUGCACACUUUGUAGUCUUGGAGGGGAAUGUGAGUUUCACCUCCUUUCCAGGUCUAUGUAUUUUCCACACACAUUAUAGCAUGUCAUAGAAUGUAAUCAUUGGGCCUUUGUGCCUAUAAAACUUUAUACAACUUUCAGCAACGGAUCUCUUGGCUCUC